rnacentral:rRNA from 1 species
AUACAGAGGGUGCGAGCGUUAAUCGGAAUUACGGGGCGUAAAGCGCGCGUAGGCGGCUUAUUAAGUCAGAUGUGAAAUCCCCGGGCUCAACCUGGGAACUGCAUCUGAUACUGGUAAGCUAGAGUUUGGGAGAGGGAAGUAGAAUUUCAGGUGUAGCGGUGAAAUGCAUAGAGAUCUGAAGGAAUACCAGUGGCGAAGGCGACUUCUUGGCCUAAAACUGACGCUGAGGUGCGAAAGCGUGGGUAGCAAACGGGAUUAGAAACCCCAGUAGUCC